AGACCAGCACCGAAUCCCGCAGUGCCUCACUGUUGGGAGCUGUGGUGUCCAUUCAAGCCCUUCGGGCAUCUCGAGGCAGUCAAAGUCCCCUUGAGGGGGGCCAUGGCCCAUAGCGGGUGCAAGGCCCAUACGACGCUUCUUGGUGUUCGAGCGGAGCUGCCGUGGAGUCGGGUUGCUUGAGAGUGCAGCCCAAAGUGGGUGGUAAACCCCAUCUAAGGCUAAAUAUGACCACGAGACCGAUAGCAAACAAGUACCGUGAGGGAAAGUUGCAAAGAACUUUGAAGAGAGAGUUCAAAGGACGUGAAACCGCUUAGAAGCAAACGGGUGGAGCUGCCAUUAUCUUGGUCGGAUUCAGCCGGUCCUGGGUUGACGUGCUGCUCACACGAUCGCAAGACGGGUGAGUGGUUCCGAUCAGCCCUUGGCUGGUGUACUUCCGAUCAGGAUGCGCUACGACCAACUAAGGAGCUAGCUAAAGACCAUUUGAGUGCCGACAGUGGCCUUCGGGUUGCUGUGCCCCCUCUUGUGAGUCUGCUCAGUCUCCCUGGUUGAGUAAACGACCGCAGUCGCUUGAGUCUCAGCUUGCGGUGCUUGAGGUUGAACAAUGCUUAGUUGUGCACGCACGACUGGGCUUGCCUCGGUUUCAUAGCGCUGUAAGACUGAGCCGCUGCACAUGGUCUGUAGCGUCCGAGUCAGCCAACCUCCCGACCCGUCUUGAAACACGGACCAAGGAGUCUAACAUGUGCGCAAGUCAUUGGGUUGUCUAAACCUAAAGGCGCAAUGAAAGUGAAAGCCAACUUCCGUUGGCCGAGGUGGGAUCCCCGGCUCGUCCGAGGCGCACCACCGUCCCAUCGCAUCUACUCGUUAGAGCGGUGGAGAAAGAGCGCACACGUUGGGACCCGAAAGAUGGUGAACUAUGCCUGAGCAGGAUGAAGCCAGAGGGAACUCUGGUGGAGGUCCGUAGCGGUUCUGACGUGCAAAUCGAUCGUCAGAUCNGGGAA
rnacentral:rRNA from 1 species